UACGAAGGGGGCUAGCGUUGCUCGGAUUUACUGGGCGUAAAGCGCACGUAGGCGGACUAUUAAGUCAGGGGUGAAAUCCCGGGGCUCAACCCCGGAACUGCCUUUGAUACUGGUAGUCUUGAGUUCGAGAGAGGUGAGUGGAAUUCCGAGUGUAGAGGUGAAAUUCGUAGAUAUUCGGAGGAACACCAGUGGCGAAGGCGGCUCACUGGCUCGAUACUGACGCUGAGGUGCGAAAGCGUGGGGAGCAAACAGG
rnacentral:rRNA from 1 species